UUCACAAUGCAAGAAGCUUCUCAGAGGAUUGCAUCAUUUCUAUUAUUUAAGAACUUGGGGUGUCAAGAGCGUAGCCCGAUUCCAGGAGCUUAAUCUUCAUGUUCUAGUAUGUUCAGGAAUUGUCUUUCUGUUUUCUGACUUAGUGGUCAGGACUGGAGACUGUGGGAAAUGCCUAUAUUAUAAAAAACUCUAAACCUGUUGAUCAGAUCUCUUUUUGUCUCCUUCCUCUGAUUGGAUUAUUUCUUUUUCAGGAGCAAACUUGAUAGAAAUGGUGAAGUCGCCUAAGUUUGGAUUUUUAUGGAAUGGAGCAAACCUACAAAAAUCCCUGGGAUUGAGCAGGUUCAGGAAACCAGAGUGGUCACGAUUUUUAAAUAUCAAAUAACUCCGAAGAGACAGUUUUAGGUGGCGUUUUGUGUGUGGAUUCAUGGCCCAUGUCAAACAUACAGCAGCUGCACAUGGUCCAAUGUGCUCUGCAGUCCGUGCCCGGCAGCCGGUUCAUCUGGCAGUGCAGAACACACAGUUCAAAAUGCAGGGUCUGGAAUCAGCCUCAGGGCAAUUUCCUGAAGGUGACUGAGAAAAUCAAGCCCAUUCAUGGUAGGUCUGAAUUUAUUACUCACGGAUUUUCACCUCCUCUAGAAAAAAAAAAAGAGAG